CGGAUCGUAAAGCUCUGUGGGAAGGGACGAAAAAGCGUGACCUAAUACGUCUCGCCUUGACGGUACCUUCUUAGCAAGCACCGGCUAACUCCGUGCCAGCAGCCGCGGUAAUACGGAGGGUGCAAACGUUGCUCGGAAUUAUUGGGCGUAAAGCGCAUGUAGGCGGUCCGCUAAGUCGGAUGUGAAAGCCCUCGGCUUAACCGAGGAAGUGCAUCCGAAACUGGCGGGCUAGAGUACGGAAGAGGGUUUCGGAAUUCCCGGUGUAGAGGUGAAAUUCGUAGAUAUCGGGAGGAACACCAGUGGCGAAGGCGGAAACCUGGGCCGAUACUGACGCUGAGAUGCGAAAGCGUGGGGAGCAAAACAGGAUUAGAUACCCUGGUAGUCCACGCCGUAAACGAUGAGCGCUAGGUGUUGGGGGUAUUGACCCCCCCAGUACCGCAGCUAACGCGUUAAGCGCUCCGCCUGGGGU
rnacentral:rRNA from 1 species